GCAAAAUAGUACCGUAACUUCGGGAGAAGGUACGCUGUUGAUGGCGAAGGAUUUACUCCGUAAGCUAUCGGCAGCCUCAGAAACUAGGCCGCUGCAACUGUUUAUUAAAAACACAGCACUCUGCAAACACGAAAGUGGACGUAUAGGGUGUGAUGCCUGCCCGGUGCUGGAAGGUUAAUUGAUGGGGUUAGCGAAAGCGAAGCUCUUGAUCGAAGCCCCAGUAAACGGCGGCCGUAACUAUAACGGUCCUAAGGUAGCGAAAUUCCUUGUCGGGUAAGUUCCGACCUGCACGAAUGGCAUAAUGAUGGCGGCGCUGUCUCCAGCAGAGACUCAGUGAAAUCGAAAUCGCGGUGAAGAUGCCGUGUACCCGCGGCUAGACGGAAAGACCCCGUGAACCUUUACUGCAGCUUUGCAUUGAACUUUGACCUUACUUGUGUAGGAUAGGUGGGAGGCUUUGAAGCUCGGACGCCAGUUCGAGUGGAGCCAUCCUUGAAAUACCACCCUGGUAAUGCCGAGGUUCUAACCCAGAUCCGUUAUCCGGAUCGGGGACAGUGUAUGGUGGGUAGUUUGACUGGGGCGGUCUCCUCCUAAAGAGUAACGGAGGAGUACGAAGGUGCGCUCAGCGUGGUCGGAAAUCACGCAAUGAGUAUAAAGGCAAAAGCGCGCUUAACUGCGAGACCGACAAGUCGAGCAGGUACGAAAGUAGGUCUUAGUGAUCCGGUGGUUCUGUAUGGAAGGGCCAUCGCUCAACGGAUAAAAGGUACUCUGGGGAUAACAGGCUGAUACCGCCCAAGAGUUCAUAUCGACGGCGGUGUUUGGCACCUCGAUGUCGGCUCAUCUCAUCCUGGGGCUGAAGCAGGUCCCAAGGGUAUGGCUGUUCGCCAUUUAAAGAGGUACGCGAGCUGGGUUUAGAACGUCGUGAGACAGUUCGGUCCCUAUCUACCGUGGGCGUUGGUGACUUGAGAGGAUCUGCUUCUAGUACGAGAGGACCGAAGUGGACGUACCUCUGGUGUUCGGGUUGUCACGCCAGUGGCACUGCCCGGUAGCUAUGUACGGACGGGAUAACCGCUGAAAGCAUCUAGGCGGGAAGCCUACCUUAAGAUAAGGUCUCCCUGGGGGUUUAACCCCCCUAAAGAGCCGUUAGAGACCAUGACGUUGAUAGGUUUGGUGUGGAAGUGCGGUGACGCAUGAAGCUAACGAAUACUAAUUGCUCGUGAGGCUUGACUAU
rnacentral:rRNA from 1 species